CUGGCUUUUUCCGGAAAUUUGAUGUUCUUAAUCUCUGGGAUUUCUAAAAAAAUGUUUGAUGUUUGCUGUUUAGUUUUUAGGGUUUUUUCGAAAUCUUGUUGUUGUUCUUGUUUAGGGUUUUGAGAAAAAAUAUCUUUGCUGUUAACUUCUCAUGAAUCUUUUAUGGUGAAUUUCUUGAGUCUAAAAAAAAACUCCCUGCUG
rnacentral:lncRNA from 1 species